UACGAAGGGGGCUAGCGUUGCUCGGAAUCACUGGGCGUAAAGCGCACGUAGGCGGAUUGUUAAGUCAGGGGUGAAAUCCUGGAGCUCAACUCCAGAACUGCCUUUGAUACUGGCGAUCUCGAGUCCGGGAGAGGUGAGUGGAACUGCGAGUGUAGAGGUGAAAUUCGUAGAUAUCGCAAGAACACCAGUGGCGAAGGCGGCUCACUGGCCCGGUACUGACGCUGAGGUGCGAAAGCGUGGGGAGCAAACAGGG
rnacentral:rRNA from 1 species